AUGUAUCUGGGUUUCCUUAGUGAUAUUUUAAACACAUUUUUUUUCUGUCCUCCCAUACAGAGCGCAUACUUUUGGUGGAAUUCCUGUUGUGUGGGAGACCAGCUUAAUUCCAUUCACACACUCACACUCCCAGAUGUGGCCCCACGGGUUUAUUCCUAUCUCGCUGUUUCAACAGUCAGACGUUUGUUCUUCAGGCUGCUUGCUCCAGUAUCCUCGUCAGACAACCGCAGGGAGCCUUUGUGCAUUUAUUUAUUUAUUUGCUUGGACUUGGAAUAUGAACAAAACAUGCAGUCACUUCCCACCAGGAUGUGUCCUUCUGGACAUCAGCAUACGUGCAAGAUGACAAUUUCAGUCUUCUGGGUGAGGGAAAGGGCUGAAUGGGAAGAGAGAGAUGCCUUCUCUUGCAGGGAUCAUUGUCCUUGACAGUAGUGCACGCCCAGAAGAGACAGCAUGACCACUGCAGUAAGACACCUGGGAGCAGGUAAGCACAGCCACCUGGCUGUUAUUGACAUGGUUGUCAUCAUGACUAUUAUUAUUAUUUGUUAAUAUUUGUUCCCAGUGCCAUGAGGCUGCUUUCUCAAGCCGCAAUUUCUUUAUUUCAAAACAAGUUUCAGUGUAAUUCACUUCACUCACAAGAGUAUUCUAGAAACAAGUGAGUUGCUUGUUGCCCUUUUUAGCUGACACACCGAAUAAACCUUGACACUAUCCCUUCCUGGUUUCUCCCUUCCCCUCGCCAUCAUAGCAGGAUGCUGCUUUGAAAUAUAUUAUACUGACAGUGAGCAAAUGUGCAGCAGUAAAUAUUAUGGUUUCAUCUAAUGCUUCAACUGUGAAAACAAAAGACAGAAAACGUAGUUCACAUAACAGAUACUGAGGUCAAAAACUAUCGGUACAGAUAUUCCACAUGGCAACUAUUACACAUUUCAUGGAGAGCUUAUUUAUGGGAACAUAUUAUGAGUCAUAGCAAUUCAUAACAUGGUGUGCUAUGGAAAAUUCCAUUCUCCACUCCAACUAAAUAGUAGACACACAACACUCAUUUUUGAUUAAUGAGAGUCAUAAACAUAUCCCACCAGGUAUAAUACAGUAG
ensembl:lincRNA